rnacentral:lncRNA from 1 species
UGGCGUCGGACCAAGAAGCCCCGGACGCAGGCCUGGUAUGGAGAACGAGAGGAAAGAAGUCCCUUAUCACGCACCUGGGGGGCCGCAGAACACCCGCCCGAGUCUGUAAAAAGUCACAGUUUGAAGAGAAUGAGAGGGGCAGUGUGGGCCUGCGUGGGACGCCUACGCAGCGGACUGCUCCUCAGGCUCGGCGUUCUCGGCCAGGUGCAGCUUCUGGCUGUGCCCGUCAAGGAUCGUGGCGCUUUGGACCAGUCCUUCCUCCCACCCCGGUCUCCCAUCUUGCACAGGUUUAGUUCCCUCACCUGUGCAAAGGGCCGGGGACGAGGGUCUCGGGCCGUCUGUGGACUGAGGUUGCAGUCCCCGCCUGCCCUCUCUCACCCCCUCUCUCUUCAUCCAGAUCGUGCAGGUCAGACACACUGGGGUGUGUGCGCGCGCACUCGCGCUGUUUCUGACUGAGGACCAGGUGAGGUGGUAGUGUAAAUUAGUAAAAAUAAUUGUUCAAUGCUGAAAGGAUAGGAGGACAUCGGACAAGCUUUGCUAUGAUUGAUGUCAGCUAAAGUACUCACAAAGAUUUUGAUCAGUAGUAAAACAUCCCCUACAACCACUUUUCUUCUAAUUUUGGGGAAAUUCUAAAUUCCUGUA